rnacentral:rRNA from 1 species
UACGGGAGGCAGCAGUGGGGAAUAUUGCACAAUGGGCGCAAGCCUGAUGCAGCCAUGCCGCGUGUAUGAAAAAGGCCUUCGGGUUGUAAAGUACUUUCAGUCGUGAGGAAGGUGUUAAGGUUAAUAACCUUAGCAAUUGACGUUAGCGACAGAAGAAGCACCGGCUAACUCCGUGCCAGCAGCCGCGGUAAUACGGAGGGUGCGAGCGUUAAAUCGGAAUUACUGGGCGUUAAAGGGCACGCAGGCGGUUAAUUAAGUUGGAUGUGAAAAUCCCCGGGCUUAACCUGGGAAAUGGCAUUCAAGACUGGUUAGCUAGAGUCUUGUAGAGGGGGUAGAAUUCCAAUGUGUAGCGGUGAAAUGCGUAGAGAUGUGGAGGAAUACCGGUGGCGAAAGGCGGCCCCUGGACAAAAGGACUGACGCUCAGUGUGACGAAAGCGUGGGGAGCAAACAGGGAUUAGAUACC